rnacentral:rRNA from 1 species
CUGAGGCGUGACGACGAGGCACUACGGUGCUGAAGCAACAAAUGCCCUGCUUCCAGGAAAAGCCUCUAAGCAUCAGGUAACAUCAAAUCGUACCCCAAACCGACACAGGUGGUCAGGUAGAGAAUACCAAGGCGCUUGAGAGAACUCGGGUGAAGGAACUAGGCAAAAUGGUGCCGUAACUUCGGGAGAAGGCACGCUGACACGUAGGUGAAGUGAUUUACUCAUGGAGCUGAAGUCAGUCGAAGAUACCAGCUGGCUGCAACUGUUUAUUAAAAACACAGCACUGUGCAAACACGAAAGUGGACGUAUACGGUGUGACGCCUGCCCGGUGCCGGAAGGUUAAUUGAUGGGGUCAGCGCAAGCGAAGCUCCUGAUCGAAGCCCCGGUAAACGGCGGCCGUAACUAUAACGGUCCUAAGGUAGCGAAAUUCCUUGUCGGGUAAGUUCCGACCUGCACGAAUGGCGUAAUGAUGGCCAGGCUGUCUCCACCCGAGACUCAGUGAAAUUGAACUCGCUGUGAAGAUGCAGUGUACCCGCGGCAAGACGGAAAGACCCCGUGAACCUUUACUAUAGCUUGACACUGAACAUUGAGCCUUGAUGUGUAGGAUAGGUGGGAGGCUUUGAAGUGUGGACGCCAGUCUGCAUGGAGCCGGCCUUGAAAUACCACCCUUUAAUGUUUGAUGUUCUAACGUGGACCCGUUACCCGGGUUGCGGACAGUGUCUGGUGGGUAGUUUGACUGGGGCGGUCUCCUCCUAAAGAGUAACGGAGGAGCACGAAGGUUGGCUAAUCCUGGUCGGACAUCAGGAGGUUAGUGCAAUGGCAUAAGCCAGCUUGACUGCGAGCGUGACGGCGCGAGCAGGUGCGAAAGCAGGUCAUAGUGAUCCGGUGGUUCUGAAUGGAAGGGCCAUCGCUCAACGGAUAAAAGGUACUCCGGGGAUAACAGGCUGAUACCGCCCAAGAGUUCAUAUCGACGGCGGUGUUUGGCACCUCGAUGUCGGCUCAUCACAUCCUGGGGCUGAAGUAGGUCCCAAGGGUAUGGCUGUUCGCCAUUUAAAGUGGUACGCGAGCUGGGUUUAGAACGUCGUGAGACAGUUCGGUCCCUAUCUGCCGUGGGCGCUGGAGAACUGAGGGGGGCUGCUCCUAGUACGAGAGGACCGGAGUGGACGCAUCACUGGUGUUCGGGUUGUCAUGCCAAUGGCACUGCCCGGUAGCUAAAUGCGGAAGAGAUAAGUGCUGAAAGCAUCUAAGCACGAAACUUGCCCCGAGAUGAGUUCUCCCUGAGACUUAGAGUCUCCUGAAGGAACGUUGAAGACGACGACGUUGAUAGGCCGGGUGUGUAAGCGCAGCGAUGCGUUGAGCUAACCGGUACUAAUGAACCGUGAGGCUUAACC